GAGUUUGAUCAUGGCUCAGGAUGAACGCUGGCGGCGUGCCUAAUACAUGCAAGUCGAGCGAACGGACGAGAAGCUUGCUUCUCUGAUGUUAGCGGCGGACGGGUGAGUAACACGUGGAUAACCUACCUAUAAGACUGGGAUAACUUCGGGAAACCGGAGCUAAUACCGGAUAAUAUUUUGAACCGCAUGGUUCAAAAGUGAAGGACGGUCUUGCUGUCACUUAUAGAUGGAUCCGCGCUGCAUUAGCUAGUUGGUAAGGUAACGGCUUACCAAGGCAACGAUGCAUAGCCGACCUGAGAGGUGAUCGGCCACACUGGAACUGAGACACGGUCCAGACUCCUACGGGAGGCAGCAGUAGGGAAUCUUCCGGCAAUGGGCGAAAGCCUGACGGAGCAACGCCGCGUGAGUGAUGAAGGUCUUCGGAUCGUAAAACUCUGUUAUUAGGGAGAACAUAUGUGUAAGUAACUGUGCACAUCUUGACGGUA
rnacentral:rRNA from 1 species